GAACUUGUCGGAACACCGAAUCUUCAGGACUACGGACAAUUUUUUAUUCCGAAUUCGGAAAUUAUUUCUCGAAAAAAAGUCACUGCGCCUUACCCAGGAGUUACCCAGGCGAACACAGGCCUGAGGUUGUGAUGACAGGGUUCUGUGCCAUUUCCUCGCGCCGGCUUUGCACGUGUUUAUGCGAUAACUUGCGCAGCAGAUCAUAACAGGGCACAUCAGGCCGCUCAGCAGGGCACAUCAGGCCGCGCAGCAGGGCGCAGCAGGUGACGGCCCUCGUUAGGACGCCCAUGCAGGAGGUGGCUUCCCCCAUGGAAGGGGUACAGGAGGAAGCAAUUACGGUUCGUGUACAGUGCACAGUGCGUGCAUGCGACAUACGUCCGG
rnacentral:lncRNA from 1 species